rnacentral:rRNA from 1 species
GAUGAACGCUGGCGGCGUGCCUAAUACAUGCAAGUCGAGCGAACAGACGAGGAGCUUGCUCCUCUGACGUUAGCGGCGGACGGGUGAGUAACACGUGGAUAACCUACCUAUAAGACUGGGAUAACUUCGGGAAACCGGAGCUAAUACCGGAUAAUAUAUUGAACCGCAUGGUUCAUUAGUGAAAGACGGUUUUGCUGUCACUUUUAGAUGGAUCCGCGCCGCAUUAGCUAGUUGGUAAGGUAACGGCUUACCAAGGCAACGAUGCGUAGCCGACCUGAGAGGGUGAUCGGCCACACUGGAACUGAGACACGGUCCAGACUCCUACGGGAGGCAGCAGUAGGGAAUCUUCCGCAAUGGGCGAAGGCCUGACGGAGCAACGCCGCGUGAAUGAUGAAGGUCUUCAGAUCGUAAAACUCUGUUAUUAGGGAAGAACAAAUGUGUAAGUAACUAUGCACGUCUUAACGGUACCUAAUCAGAAAGCCACGGCUAACUACGUG